rnacentral:rRNA from 1 species
UACGUAGGGUGCAAGCGUUAAUCGGAAUUACUGGGCGUAAAGCGUGCGCAGGCGGUUGUGCAAGACCGAUGUGAAAUCCCCCGGGCUUAACCUGGGAAUGGCAUUGGUGACUGCACGGCUAGAGUGUGUCAGAGGGGGGUAGAAUUCCACGUGUAGCAGUGAAAUGCGUAGAGAUGUGGAGGAAUACCGAUGGCGAAGGCAGCCCCCUGGGAUAACACUGGACGCUCAUGCACGAAAGCGUGGGGAGCAAACAGG